rnacentral:rRNA from 1 species
AACGAACGCUGGCGGCAUGCCUAACACAUGCAAGUCGAACGAGACCUUCGGGUCUAGUGGCGCACGGGUGCGUAACGCGUGGGAACCUGCCCUUAGGUUCGGAAUAACUCCCCGAAAGGGGUGCUAAUACCGGAUAAUGUCUUCGGACCAAAGAUUUAUCGCCCUUGGAUGGGCCCGCGUUGGAUUAGCUAGUUGGUAGGGUAAAAGCCUACCACGGCGACGAUCCAUAGCUGGUCUGAGAGAAUGAUCAGCGACACUGGGGCUGAGACGCGGCCCAGACUCCUACGGGAGGCAGCAGUGGGGAAUAUUGGAAAAUGGGGGAAAGCAUGAUCCAGCAAUGCCGCGUGAGUGAUGAAGGCCGUAGGGAUGUAAAGCUCUUUUACCCGGGAUGAUAAUGACAGUACCGGGAGAAUAAGCACCGGCUAACUCCGUG